GACGAACGCUGGCGGCGCGCCUAACACAUGCAAGUCGAACGGGAUCUUUUAAGAAAGCUUGCUUUCUUGGCUGAUCUAGUGGCGGACGGGUGAGUAACACGUGAGCAACCUGCCGAGGAGUGGGGGAUAACGUCUGGAAACGGACGCUAAUACCGCAUAACGUACCUGGAGGGCAUCUUCUGGGUACCAAAGGAGAAAUCCGCUUUUUGAUGGGCUCGCGCCCGAUUAGGUAGUUGGUGGGGUAAAGGCCUACCAAGCCGACGAUCGGUAGCCGGACUGAGAGGUUGAACGGCCACAUUGGGACUGAGACACGGCCCAGACUCCUACGGGAGGCAGCAGUGGGGGAUAUUGCACAAUGGGGGAAACCCUGAUGCAGCGACGCCGCGUGAGUGAAGACGGCCUUCGGGUUGUAAAGCUCUGUUGACGGGGACGAUAAUGACGGUACCCGUUUAGAAAGCCACGGCUAACUACGUGCCAGCCGCCGCCGUAAAAC
rnacentral:rRNA from 1 species